GUAUGAGGUUUCGAAAUGUAUUGAUGGUUGUGUCAUUCGUGAGUAUGAUUUCAUGAGUUUUCUUUGCAAAAACUUUUUUUUUCUGUUGAAUUCGCGUGUCCAAGUAUACCUUUUACACUCAAAUACUAGAGACUAUUAGUUGGACCGUUGACUGAGAUAUCCUUCAGUCAACGGUUGGACAGACGGCGACGCUUGUCCGAUUAUAGGCACUGUAGCUUGUAUGGAGAGUAGAAUUUGGAAACCUGAACGAAUUAACGAUAAUUAAGCGCAAAGUCAUUCAAAAUCUGUGUCCAAAAAGGUAGACCAAAAUCUUGACCCGAACACCCUGGCAGACCACCGUAAGGGCCAGUAAAUCCGUGUAGAUUGGAGAUCGGGCAUUACAGUUACUUUCGAUUACCAGAAUUUUAGUCAGUUAUAUUGGUACAUAGCAAGAUAUUUAUGGUUGCAGGUUGUUCCAGAACGCAGUUUCUCCAUUCAUCGGAGUGUCUUGGUUAGGUCAGGCUUGCGUGGCUUGGGUUUGGGACAGAUUUGUGGAACAAACGAAAAAAAGAAAAAAAAAAAACAAUAGCGGAAUAGGACACUGAUUGUGAAACAGACACAUGGUUACAUUAGUUAUUUGUUAAACUGUUUUUGGAGUUUAUUGGAGUUUACUCCUUAAGAAACGAUUUGAGUUAUAGGGCCCGGCACGGAAAUUAUAUGAGGAGUAAAAUCAAGUGUAACACGAAAACUUGAGGCGUUAUAGAAAGAGAAAAACAUAUACAUUGAACGUGCAAAAGAAUGAGAUGGAAUACAUUACACAGCGUAUCCUAUACUCGGGGUCUCCUCUUUCUGCGGUGGUUCGUAGUCUCACUGUAUAGUUCACUACCUCUGGUCUGAGAGUUGAAUGUGUGCGUAUGUUUGUACGUGUGUGUUGUGUGCCUGCGUAUGAAUUUAUAAGACGUGACGUUAUCACGUCAAAAUAUUUGAAAAUAUGGAAGAAAUUGAUUUAGAUGAUAAUGAAGAAGAAUCCGAAAAACACAUGGAU
rnacentral:lncRNA from 1 species